CUGGAACGGGACGCCAUAGAGGGUGAGAGCCCCGUACGGUCGGUUGCUGCGCCGCUGUGAAGCGCCUUCGACGAGUCGAGUAGUUUGGGAAUGCUGCUCUAAAUGGGAGGUAAACUCCUUCUAAAGCUAAAUAUUGGCCAGAGACCGAUAGCGCACAAGUAGAGUGAUCGAAAGAUGAAAAGCACUUUGAAAAGAGAGUCAAACAGCACGUGAAAUUGUUGAAAGGGAAGCGCUUGUGACCAGACUUGGGCUUGGUAGUUCAGCCGUCCUUCUGGGCGGUGCACUCUGCCGGUUCAGGCCAGCAUCAGUUGUCGGUUGGGGAGAAAGAUGGCGGGAACGUGGCUCUUCGGAGUGUUAUAGCCCGCCAUUAUGCCCUUCUGGCGACUGAGGAUAGCGUUCUGCACGGAUGCUGGCGUAAUGGUUAUCAGCGACCCGUCUUGAAACACGGACCAAGGAGUCAUCCUAAUAUGCGAGUGUUUGGGUGUUAAACCCCUACGCGGAAUGAAAGUAAACGGAGGUGAGAGCUUCGGCGCAUCAUCGACCGAUCCUGAUGUUUUCGGAUGGAUUUGAGUAAGAGCAUAUUGGGCUGGACCCGAAAGAAGGUGAACUAUGCUUGGAUAGGGCAAAGCCAGAGGAAACUCUGGUGGAGGCUCGCAGCGGUUCUGACGUGCAAAUCGAUCGUCAAAUCUGAGCAUGGGGGCGAAAGACUAAUCGAACCUUCUAGUAGCUGGUUUCCGCCGAAGUUUCCCUCAGGAUAGCAGUGCUGAUCUCAGUUUUAUGAGGUAAAGCGAAUGAUUAGGGACUCGGGGGCUUAUUAUGGCCUUCAUCCAUUCUCAAACUUUAAAUAUGUAAGAAGCCUUCGUUACUUUAGUGAACGGAGGCAUUAGAAUGUACAGCACUAGUGGGCCAUUUUUGGUAAGCAGAACUGGCGAUGCGGGAUGAACCGAUCGCGAGGUUAAGGUGCCGGAGUGGACGCUCAUCAGACACCACAAAAGGUGUCGUCACAUCUUGACAGCAGGACGGUGGCCAUGGAAGUCGGAAUCCGCUAAGGACU
rnacentral:rRNA from 1 species